rnacentral:misc_RNA from 1 species
GUAACAAGGUCUCCGUUGGUGAACCAGCGGAGGGAUCAUUACCGAGUUUUCAACUCCCAAACCCUUUUGUGAACAUACCUAUCGUUGCUUCGGCGGACUCGCCCCAGCGUCCGGCCGGCCCCGCGCCGGCCGCGGCCUGGAUCCAGGCGGCCGCCGGAGACCCCCAAACUCUGUAUUCUCAGUAUCUUCUGAAUCCGCCGCAAGGCAAAACAAAUGAAUCAAAACUUUCAACAACGGAUCUCUUGGUUCUGGCAUCGAUGAAGAACGCAGCGAAAUGCGAUAAGUAAUGUGAAUUGCAGAAUUCAGUGAAUCAUCGAAUCUUUGAACGCACAUUGCGCCCGCCAGCAUUCUGGCGGGCAUGCCUGUUCGAGCGUCAUUUCAACCCUCGACUUCCCUUUGGGGAAAUCGGCGUUGGGGACCGGCCGUAUACCGCCGGCCCCGAAAUGAAGUGGCGGCCCGUCCGCGGCGACCUCUGCGUAGUAAUCCAACUCGCACCGGAACCCCGACGUGGCCACGCCGUAAAACCCCCGACUUCUGAACGUUGACCUCGGAUCAGGUAGGAAUACCCGCUGAACUUAAGCAUAUCAAUAA